rnacentral:ncRNA from 2 species
UAGAUGUUAAAAGCGCCAGAACCUGAUUGCAGCGGGUAAUUUAAUCAGGUGGACGAGGAAGAAGGUUAUCGAAUUUUCGGCGGAUGCCUUCAGGCAGUAGCUGUUUUGCCUUAAUUUUAUUUCUCAAAAUCAGUGGGUAAUUGCUGAAACAAAGGGGAUAAAUUACAGCUGA